rnacentral:tRNA from 2 species
GGAGAGGUGGCUGAGCGGACGAAAGCGCUCCCCUGCUAAGGGAGUAAGGGUUGAUAGCCCUUCGUGGGUUCGAAUCCCACCCUCUCCGCCA